rnacentral:rRNA from 1 species
CCUACGGGAGGCAGCAGUGAGGAAUAUUGGUCAAUGGGCGCAAGACUGAACCAGCCAAGUAGCGUGAAGGAUGACUGCCCUACGGGUUGUAAACUUCUUUUAUAAGGGAAUAAAAUGAGGCACGUGUGCCUUUUUGUAUGUACUUUAUGAAUAAGGAUCGGCUAACUCCGUGCCAGCAGCCGCGGUAAUACGGAGGAUCCGAGCGUUAUCCGGAUUUAUUGGGUUUAAAGGGAGCGUAGAUGGGUUGUUAAGUAAGCUGUGAAAGUUUGCGGCUCAACCGUAAAAUUGCAAUUGAUACUGGCAGUCUUGAGUACAGGUGAGGUAGGCGGAAUUCGUGGUGUAGCGGUGAAAUGCUUAGAUAUCACGAAGAACUCCGAUUGCGAAGGCAGCUUACUAAACUGCCACUGACAUUGAUGCUCGAAAGUGUGGGUAUCAAACAGGAUUAGAUACCCCUGUAGUC